rnacentral:lncRNA from 13 species
AUGCCAGCGCUCAUCCCGGGCCCGGGAAGUGCCUCCUCCGGCCCGGCCCGGCCCGGCCCUCCCAGCCGAGCGCCGCUGUUCGCAGCGCGGGCCGCUCCCUCCGGCCGCAGCCGUGCCCCGGCAGCGCAGCCCUUGGCACGGCGCUGGAGCCAGCGCCGCCGGCCGCAGCCAAAACGCCCCGGCCGCCGCCCCGGCACGGCCCUUCCCGCGGCCCCGGCUCGGCGGCGCCGGCAGCGGCCUCACGAUCCUCCCGCCGCCGCCUCCCCGGCCCGGCCGCUCCGCUCUGGGCCGCGCCGUUCCGGCGGCGCCGCGCUCGGGGCAGCGGCUGCGGCACCGCGCCCUUGGAGCGGCCCCUUCCACAGCCCCGGCACCGGCACCCGCGGGGGCUCUGCCCGGGGGGCUCCGUGCCCGGGGGGCUCCGUGCCCGCGGGCCCCGCCGCUCCCCGCCCACGGCCCCUGCCAGCAACGAGACGCCCCGCGACCCCUCCCGGCCUCCCCACCUGCCCCCGGGCCCGUCCCGCACCACGCGGCCGCUCCCGCCGCCGCUUCCGCUGCAAGGGACACCCGCCCGCGGCGGGCCGGGAGGAGCUGCCGCCGGGAUCCGCCCACAUCCGCCGCCAUCUCCUCAUCCCCGUCCCAUCCCAUCCCCCCCCACCCCACCUCCCUUCCCCUCCGUCGAUGGAGGGCGGCACCUUCGACAGUCGCGGCAUGGGCCGUGCCCGGUGGGUCCAUGUCCAAGCACUCCGUGAGAUGUUUAAUUUUCAUCCCUUUCUUCCACCUGCAGCUCUCCAGGCCCGUGCUGAAGAUCCCCUUUUAGCACCAAGCCUCUUCCAUGUGCCUUACUCACCUGGCCGUGGUCUCCCUGUUCCUCAGCACUCCUGUCACCAAACCAUCGGGGAAAACUUUCUAACACUAUAAUUUCUAUAUUAAAAGCAUGUGUAGCUUUAUUUUGGCGCUGGGAUCACCCACCCCCAGCUAUCUCACACAACCAGUUGGUAUCUAUGUCACUAACACGUAUUCAUCCCACUUCCCGAACUCAACAUGUAUUUGCUAAACAUUCCCACAAAUUCAUGUACAUAUUUAAUCACUUCUGAAAAUUCACUUACAUCAGAGUAGGGGGUCUCUCAGUGGUGUCUGGUGGUUGUUUGGGGAACAUCCCAUUCCUCAAAUUAUCCUUUUAUGGUCAAGAGCCCCCUAAACCCAGUUUGUUCCCUUUGAAUACAUCCCAGCUCUGUGGUGUGGCCCAGACACACCUUUAUCCCAGCAUUGCUCAGAUCCACAGUCUGUAUUCUUAUGGCUCAGGUACAAUGGUGUUGGCCAGACACACUCCAGCUGCUCCUUCCCUCACCCUUCUCAAAGGGAUGGGGGCACAGGAGAAGGAACUGUUGCUUCUUAUUACAUAACUUUGCCAAAAACCCCACUGUGUUCCUCAUUAUCUAUUUCUCCACUGGUUCCAUCCACAUUUAUUAUCCUGUGUGCACACCUUUACCUCCUUUUAUCUUUUUUGCUAGUUAGUCUUUAAGCUCUAUCCAGCAACUUCAGGAGAACUGAAAAUUUCUAUUCUGUGUUAUAUAACACCCCCUCUCUCAGGACCUGAGAGGCUGUCCCUUCCCGCAGCACCAUGGACGUGCCCCUACCCUGGGAUGGGGCCGUGCUCUGGGCAGUGCCAGGGGAGAUGUGCUGGUCAGUCCAAAAUGGGAUUGUGCUCCUGGCAGUGUGGGGGUGGGGAUGUGCUGGCCCAUGGUCUGGGUCUGUUCCAGCUGAGCACCUGGUGGGAAGAGAGCCACAGCUGGAUGCCAUGGAUCUCCUGGAGCACAGCUUAAGAGGAUGGACACUCAGCCCUGCUGUCCUGCACAUGUGGGAUCCAACACCAUCCUCUGCAGCCACUCCCCACCCUCUGCUUCAAAAGCCAUGGAGAAGGAGUCAGUGGGAGCAGUGGGGAUCUUGCAUUCCCUGCCCCUGCAGAUGGGCAUCUCCAAGCCCGUUCUCAUGGCUGGGGAGACAAUGACCACACUGGGAUGGAUGUGCCCGGCACCAGCUCAGUCACAGCCAAAGUCACUUCCAGUGGCCUCCCCAGGGUCUAUUGGAGGCUGGGGUGUGUGUCUGGGACUUUGGCCAGUCUGAGCACAUGCCUUGGCCUGAGGAAUCUCUGGGGAGGGAGAGAGGGAUGCCCUGGGCCACUGCUGUGGUUGAGCUCCUGGUGGGAGAGCCACGGUCACAUGCAGGAGGAUCCAGAGGAGGACCCUGCUCAUAUCCAUGGGAACAGGACUGUGGAUACAAAUAUGCUGCUAGCAAGAAUUUUUCUUGCUUCUUUUAAGUCCCGUGAGAGACUUUUCUCUCUCACGGAAGAUACUUGUAGAGUUCUAUAAACUAUGAACACCUGCGACCUUGCAAAGCUUUGUUUAUGGUACAGUAGAAAAAUAUUUUGACAAUGGAUGUUUUAGGAUUUUAGCCAAUCACCCCCAAGGGGUGGCUGAUCCUUUGACCAAUUAGACUGAAGAAAAAAGUCUAUAAGAGAGUUGUAAAAUAAUUAAAGAAAUCAAUGUUGCUGCACAAUUCCUGCCUGCUGGAUCUUCUCUCCUCCUCCUCCCUACAGCUGUGGGACAUGGUGAUAUUUGGUGAGCCCCAACGUGUCCUGCACGCUGUGAGCCAAGCCACAUUUCUCUAGAGGUACGGUGUUGUUCCCCCACCCCGGACCGGGAUGUCUGAUGGGACUGAGAGAAUGGCGAACAGCAGCUUAAAAACCAACACUGUGGUAAGGGUCUGGAGAGGUGUUUUCAGUUUAAUGGACACUUCCAUUUCUGAGAACUCACUCUGUGAGUUAUUAGACUGGGCUGCCCUACAUGGCAUCUCCCCAAACAGAGACACGGCCCUGGAUUUCGGGCUGUGGCAGGAACUCGGCUCUGCACUCUGGCGCGAGUUCCCAUCUGGGGACCCACUGGUGCUAGAAUUACUACGCACGUGGCGGGGUUUGUUUAAUCUGCUGAUAGACUUUAACUGUGGCAGCAGAGCUGGCUCGCCUGUUUCGGUGGCAAGUGACGGAGAGAUAUCUGAAGGAGACCCCACACACCUGGCUCUACGGGCGUGUGGUGGCAGAUCCAAAAACCCCCCCCCCCGGUUUCACGGGUAGAGAAUGUCCCGGAGCCUGCGCCGGGUCACCCUGCGCUGCCGCAGGACCCCACGCCCCCGAGGACCCAGUGCCAGCAGAGCAACUGGAGGGGGUGUGUGGGCAGCGGGGGGCGUGCAGCCCGCCCUUCCUUUCGGCUCAGCGGCGGUCGCUGCUUUCUCAGUGCUGCGCUUCAGUGGGCUUGCGUCCUGGGCCCCCAUGGCGGCUCCUAGCCUGUCUGCACAGGCGUUUCUGCGCUGAGAAUGCCCGGAUGCGGCUCGUCUCCCUCCGUAGCAACAGACUGUUCCGCGCAAAAGCAGAACCAAGCAGUCAACCUUUUAAUAUGGCAUCUGCCUUUGUUGACAGAGCUGCCGAACAUAUCACGGCAGCUGGCGGAGCUGCUCAGCUUGCAAAAGCAGCUGUUGCAGCUGCCAGCGGCGCCCCGCCGCGCAGGGCCUGCGCCGCCUGCGCUGCCCGCGAGAGACGCUCCCAACCCGGAACCAGCGGCGGCGGUCGUGGUGCCAGCGACCGGCACUGCACCAGCGUCCCAGCCGCCAGCGGAGCCGAGACCGGCGAAAGAAGUGGCGGUCACGGCGGCUGUGCCCCGGCCGGCAGCGGCUCUGGGCACUACCGUAGCACAGGAGAGAGCAGCGGCUCCGGGCGUGGCCGCAGCCUUGCAGACGGCUGCAGCAGCCCCACCGCUGGAUCGGUUGAAACCGCCCGAGAUCGCAUCCCCGACAGUGGCUGCGGUUCGAACCCCUGCACAGCCGACUGCAGCCUCUGCUGUCAGUUCCUCUUCUGGUCAGGCGAUUUCUCCCCGCCUGCCUCUGUUCGUUCACAGCUCCUCAAAGCUGCUCAUACCCAACGAUUCAUCGUCGGGCAGUGAGGCAGAGGAGGCUUUGGCCCCAGGUCGUGAAGCGGUUGUAGCCCAAGCAGCAAAAGAAAAGGCUGCUCCAGUCUCGUCCCUGGACCUUCCCGGACUGCACUGUGACAGUGCAUCCGAGACACUACAACCAUUUCUGGGAGUCGCUUAAGAUGCAGGCUCUGGAGGAGGGUGAUUGGGAUUUAUUGGAAACACUUGCAAUGCCAAGCAGAUUUGAGGAUUCUGAGAGUAAUCGGGAAACUGUUACACUGCAUCCAAAGGCUGUGCCAGAAGUUCAGGAUGAUAGUGACACCCCGAAAGGGGAGAUCCAAGCUUUCCCAGUGGAUAAGGCUCUCCCAAAUUCAGGCCAGCAUGAUAUGCAUGAGAUAAUUGCCUGGAAGAUUGCACAGGAUCUGCAAUCCAAGGUGGAACAACAUGGACUCAGUUCUGCUGAGGUGAUGCAGAUAAUAAGGGUGAUAAAUACAGUGCUUGCUCCAUUUGGUAUCAGACACUUAGGUCAAAUUCUAUUUCAGCCUGUACAAUUUACAGUUUUUGAGACUACCUGGAGAAAGCUGGCUGACAAGGCUGCAUUAGGGAAUAUGCAGCUCCCUGCUGCUGAUCCUAGAUGGACAGCAGGAAUGGAUGCUUUGAUGGGGACUGGCCCCUUCUCUGAUCCCAGCCUAACAGGGUACCUUGUCUUCUAGCAUCCUGCAGCAAGCUCAACAGGUCGGCAUGGCUGCCCUGUUGAAAACCAUAGAGUUGUCAGCACCCAGAAAGCGAUAUACUGAAAUAGUUCAAGGGAAAUCAGAGUCAUUCCUCUCCUUUGUAGAGAAAGUCGCUGCUUCUCUCGAGAAGCAGGUUGAAGAUGACGGGUUAAGACAGAUGUUGUUAAGGCAGUUAGUGAGAGAUAACGCAAACGAGGAGUGCAGAAAAAUCAUAGAUGCCUUACCAGGGGAUCCUGAGGUAACAGACAUGGUCGAAGCCUGCGCUAAGGUGGGAUCUGGGAACCAGAGAAGGUCUGCUUUGGCUGCG